UGAGUAACCUGCCCUUAACUCUGGGAUAAGCCUGGGAAACUGGGUCUAAUACCGGAUGUGACUCCUCAUCGCAUGGUGGGGGGUGGAAAGCUUUAUUGUUGGUUUUGGAUGGACUCGCGGCCUAUCAGCUUGUUGGUGAGGUAAUGGCUCACCAAGGCGACGACGGGUAGCCGGCCUGAGAGGGUGACCGGCCACACUGGGACUGAGACACGGCCCAGACCUCCGUACGGGAGCAG
rnacentral:rRNA from 1 species